rnacentral:lncRNA from 1 species
GAUAUUAAGUUCACGCGUAGGGGGGACAUCCCUAUGAACCCUAAAAGGUACUAGUAAAUGGGUAAAAAUAAAAGUUGUUGUUCUUGCUAACUUGUAUAUGAAAUCAUAAUAUUAUUUGAGUUAUUAUCCUUAUAGGUCGAUUUUGAAAACUCGUAAUGGUAAGUAUGGAAUAAACAGUUUUAUGCUAAAUGAAUUUAUUUAAGAAAGCAAAUGGCUUCAUUAGUUGUUUUAUAAUUUUU